rnacentral:rRNA from 1 species
GAUAGGGGUGAAAGGCCAAUCAAACCCGGAGAUAUCUCGUUCUCCCCGAAAUAGCUUUAGGGCUAGCGUCGCGCGUUCACCGCCGGAGGUAGAGCACCGGAUGGACGAGGGGGCUUCGCCGCCUACCGAAUCCAACCGAACUCCGAAUGCCGGCGGCCCAGAGCGCGGCAGUCAGAGCAUGUGGGCUAAGCUGUGUGCUCGAGAGGGAAACAGCCCGGACCGCCCGCUAAGGUCCCCAAGUUCCAGCCGAGUGGCAAAGGAUGUGCGUCCGCCCAGACAACCAGGAUGUUGGCUUAGAAGCAGCCAUGCAUUCAAAGAGUGCGUAACAGCUCACUGGUCGAGUGGACAUGCGCCGACAAUACACGGGGCUAAGCUGGACACCGAAGCGGCGGGAUUUUAUUCAUUAGAAUCGGUAGGGGAGCUUCCCAUGGGCGGAGAAGCCGGAGGGCGACCGACGGUGGAGCGCAUGGGAGUGAGAAUGCUGGCAUGAGUAGCGAGAGACGAGAGAGUAACUCGUCCGCCGUGAACCCGAGGUUUCCUGGGCAAGGCUAAUCCUCCCAGGGUCAGUCGGGGGCUAAGGCGAGGCCGGGAGGCGUAGCCGACGCGCAGCAGGCAGACAUUCCUGCACCGCGCACGCGGCGCUACGACCGACGGGGCGACGGAUGGGGGUGGCUCGGCGGGGUUCUGGACGUCCCCGUGAUGGAGCGCGGCCCGCGGACCAGGGAAAUCCGGUCCGCAGAAGGGCGAGGCUCCGGACGAAGCACUUAAGCGAAGCGAGUGAGCCCGAGGUCCCUAGAAAAACCCCUAGGCAGGCGCGUGCGCGCCCGUACCGCAAACCGACACAGGUGGGUGGGUAGAACAUACCGAGGCGAUCGGGUCAACCAUGGUCAAGGAACUCGGCACAAUGGCCCCGUAACUUCGGGAGAAGGGGUGCCCGCGCGUACGUGAACGGACUUGCUCCGGGAGCGGAGGCGGGCCGCAGUGGAGAGGCCCAAGCGACUGUUUACCAAAAACACAGGACUCUGCAGAAGCCGCAAGGCGACGUAUAGGGUCUGACGCCUGCCCGGUGCCGGAAGGUCACGCGGAGGGGUUAGCCGCAAGGCGAGGCCCCGAAGCCAAGCCCCGGUAAACGGCGGCCGUAACUAUAACGGUCCUAAGGUAGCGAAAUUCCUUGUCGGGUAAGUUCCGACCUGCACGAAAGGCGCAACGACUUGGGCGCUGUCUCGACCAUGGACCCGGUGAAAUUGCACUGGUCGUGAAGAUGCGACUUACCCGCGGAAGGACGGAAAGACCCCGUGAACCUUCACUGCAGCUUGGCAUUGGCCGCUGGUCCCGCGUGUAGAGGAUAGGCAGGAGGCAUCGAUCCGGAGGCGCCAGCCCCCGGGGAGCCGCCCUUGGAAUACUGCCCUCGCGCGACCGGCGUCCUAACCCGAGGCCGUCAACCGGCUCGGGGACCGUGCCAGGCGGGCAGUUUGACUGGGGCGGUCGCCUCCUAAAGGGUAACGGAGGCGCGCGAAGGUCCGCUCGGGACGGUCGGCAACCGUCCUUUUGAAUGCAAGAGUACAAGCGGGCUUGACUGCGAGGCCCACAAGCCGAGCAGGUGCGAAAGCAGGCUCUAGUGAUCCGGCGGCCCCGAGUGGGUGGGCCGUCGCUCAACGGAUAAAAGGUACUCCGGGGAUAACAGGCUGAUCUUGCCCAAGAGUCCACAUCGACGGCAAGGUUUGGCACCUCGAUGUCGGCUCAUCGCAUCCUGGGGCUGGAGCAGGUCCCAAGGGUACGGCUGUUCGCCGUUUAAAGCGGUACGCGAGCUGGGUUCAGAACGUCGUGAGACAGUUCGGUCCCUAUCCUCCGUGGGCGCAGGAGAAUCGAUGGAGGCUGCCCCCAGUACGAGAGGACCGGGGUGGACGCACCUCCGGUGAACCGGUUGUCGACCAACGGCACGGCCGGGUAGCCGCGUGCGGCGCGGAUAACCGCUGAAGGCAUCUAAGCGGGAAGCCGUUCCAGGGAUUAGUUCU